UGCCAUAAUAAAAAGUUAAAACAUUUAUAUUUACCACAAGUAAAAUAAAAGUAUAUUCAAAGAUGACUUUGAAGCUUCUGGCUUGGGAAGCCAGUAGUUGGUGUCAUUCAUUGGAUGUGAAGAUUAACGCGCGUUAACGGUUUAAUACAGAGCCCGGCACGGUGUAAGUGGUCAAUAAAUACGAGCUAUUAUUAUGAGCAACGCUGUGUCCUCAGAGCCUCCCCACCAGGACGUCAGGGAGCGGUGCAGCAAGAGCGGAGCAGAGUGCCUCCCGGGAAUCCUUCCCGGCGCGGCCGCGGCGCCGCACAGCCGCCGCCAUUCGGGCUCCAGCCCCGUCCGCGCGUCUCCCGGCCUGGGUGCGGGACCAGGGCCCUGCGAGGGGCGCAGGGUGAGUCUGUGGAAUAGU
rnacentral:lncRNA from 1 species